rnacentral:lncRNA from 1 species
GUUCAAAUUUCUUUUUUGAAGAAUAUAGUGAUGGUCAUCAGAAUUAGCUGAGGCAGAAGAGGAGGCAAAAUGGUAAUCUGGAAGGUGGUAACCCUCCUGAGGAAAUUAGCAGCAUUGACAAUGGAAAGUACUGUUUCAUCUAUCUUCCCUAUGAGAAGGUAAUCUGUUUGAAUAGAAGAAACAUUGGAAUAGGGCUCAAUUUCUAAACAGAUUUAGGUCUACAGAAGUUAUAUCACCCCUGAAAUCCUUGGGAUGCUG